rnacentral:tRNA from 1 species
GGGGAUUUAGCUUAGUGGCAUAAGCACCUGCCUUGCAAGCAGGCGGUCAUGAGUUGGAUCCCUG